rnacentral:rRNA from 1 species
GACAGAGGGUGCAAGCGUUGCUCGGAAUCAUUGGGCGUAAAGCGCGUGUAGGCGGCUUGUUACGUCGGGUGUGAAAGCCCGGGGCUCAACCCCGGCAGUGCACCCGAAACGGGGAAGCUAGAGUACUGGAGAGGCGAGUGGAAUUCCCGGUGUAGAGGUGAAAUUCGUAGAUAUCGGGAGGAACACCGGUGGCGAAGGCGACUCGCUGGCCAGGUUACUGACGCUGAGACGCGAAAGCGUGGGGAGCAAACAGG